rnacentral:rRNA from 1 species
UGGAUGCGGGGGCUUCACCGCCUACCAAAUCCUGACAAACUCCGAAUGCCAGUAGAAUGAUUUAGAGCAGUGAGCGGCUGGGUGCUAAUGUCCGGCCACGAGAGAGGAACAACUCAGACCAGCAGCUAAGGCCCCGAAGAGUAUACUAAGUUGAACUAACGAUGUGCGACUGCAGCGACAGCUAGGAUGUUAGCUUGGAAGCAGCUAUUCAUUUAAAGAGUGCGUAACAGCUCACUAGUCGAGCGGUUGUGCGUGGAUAAUAAACGGGCAUCAAGUAUACCGCCGAAGCUCUGGGAUCUACGGAUCGGUAGGGGAGCAUUCCAUUCGCGUCGAAGUUGUAGCGUGAGCUAUGGUGGAGCGUAUGGAAAAGCAAAUGUAGGCAUAAGUAACGAUAAGGCGGGCGAGAAACCCGCCCACCGCAAGACCAAGGUUUCCUGAUCAACGUUAAUCGGAUCAGGGUUAGUCGGGACCUAAGGAUAAGCCGAAAGGUGAUUUCGAUGGACAAUCGGUUAAUAUUCCGAUACUGAUAUGGACUGCGACGGAGAGACGAAGGGGCGUAAGCCACGCCAACUGACGGAAUAGUUGGUUAAAGGAUGUAGGUAAAUCGGGAGGUUAAGAGCUUUCUGAUGCUGAAAUCCGACAGUACCGCAAGCCUACGGGUGAGCGGAUAGUUGGCCCAAGCGGACUUCCGAGAAAAACUUCUAAGCUUCAGGUUCAUAUCACCCGUACCGUAAACCGACACAGGUGGUCGAGGAGAGUAUCCUAAGGUGCUCGAGUGAUUCACGGUUAAGGAACUAGGCAAAUUAACCCCGUAACUUCGGAAUAAGGGGUCCCAUUGAGAGAUGGGCGCAGCGAAGAGGUCCAGGCGACUGUUUAGCAAAAACACAGGGCUCUGCAAAUUCGAAAGAAGACGUAUAGGGCCUGACACCUGCCCGGUGCUGGAAGGUUAAGAGGGGAUGUCAUCGCAAGAGAAGCAUUGAAUCGAAGCCCCAGUAAACGGCGGCCGUAACUAUAACGGUCCUAAGGUAGCGAAAUUCCUUGUCGGGUAAGUUCCGACCUGCACGAAUGGUGUAACGAUCUGGACACUGUCUCAACCGUGAGCUCGGUGAAAUUGUAGUCCCGGUGAAGAUGCCGGGUACCCGCAACGGGACGAAAAGACCCCGUGAACCUUUACUGCAGCUUAACGCUGAAUUUGGGUAUACGAUGUGUAGGAUAGGCAGGAGACAAUGAAGCGGGUACGCCAGUAUUCGUGGAGUCAACGUUGAAAUACUGCCCUUUGUGUAUUUGAGUUCUAACCCUGCGAAGGGGACACCGUUUGGUGGGUAGUUUGACUGGGGUGGUCGCCUCCAAAAGCGUAACGGAGGCUUCUA